rnacentral:rRNA from 1 species
UACUACGGGAGGCAGCAGUAGGGAAUCUUCCGCAAUGGACGAAAGUCUGACGGAGCAACGCCGCGUGAGCGAUGAAGGCCUUCGGGUCGUAAAGCUCUGUUGUCAGGGAAGAACAAGUACCGGAGUAACUGCCGGUACCUUGACGGUACCUGACCAGAAAGCCACGGCUAACUACGUGCCAGCAGCCGCGGUAAUACAUAGGUGGCAAGCGUUGUCCGGAAUUAUUGGGCGUAAAGCGCGCGCAGGCGGUUCCUUAAGUCUGAUGUGAAAGCCCCCGGCUCACCCGGGGAGGGUCAUUGGAAACUGGGGAACUUGAGUGCAAAAGAGGAAAGCGGAAUUCCCCGUGUAGCGGUGAAAUGCGUAAAAAUUUGGAAGAACACCCUUGGCGAAGGGGGCUCCUCUGGUCUUUAACUGACCCUGAGGCCCAAAAGCGUGGGGAGCAAAAAGAAAAAAAUACCCUGGUAGCCCACCCCUAAAACAAAAGGGCUAAGUGUUAAAGGGUUCCCCCCUC